rnacentral:rRNA from 1 species
GCAAGUCGAACGGUGAAGUCCCAGCUUGCUGGGAUGGAUCAGUGGCGAACGGGUGAGUAACACGUGAGCAACCUGCCCUCCACUUCGGGAUAAGCCUUGGAAACGGGGUCUAAUACCGGAUAUGAGCCUGCAUCGCAUGGUGUGGGUUGGAAAGUUUUUCGGUGGGGGAUGGGCUCGCGGCCUAUCAGCUUGUUGGUGGGGUGAUGGCCUACCAAGGCGUCGACGGGUAGCCGGCCUGAGAGGGCGACCGGCCACACUGGGACUGAGACACGGCCCAGACUCCUACGGGAGGCAGCAGUGGGGAAUAUUGCACAAUGGGCGCAAGCCUGAUGCAGCGACGCCGCGUGAGGGAUGACGGCCUUCGGGUUGUAAACCUCUUUCAGCAGGGAAGAAGCGCAAGUGACGGUACCUGCAGAAGAAGCGCCGGCUAACUACGUGCCAGCAGCCGCGGUAAUACGUAGGGCGCAAGCGUUGUCCGGAAUUAUUGGGCGUAAAGAGCUCGUAGGCGGUCUGUCGCGUCUGGUGUGAAAUCCCGAGGCUCAACCUCGGGCUUGCAUCGGGUACGGGCAGACUAGAGUGCGGUAGGGGAGACUGGAAUUCCUGGUGUAGCGGUGGAAUGCGCAGAUAUCAGGAGGAACACCGAUGGCGAAGGCAGGUCUCUGGGCCGCAACUGACGCUGAGGAGCGAAAGCAUGGGGAGCGAACAGGAUUAGAUACCCUGGUAGUCCAUGCCGUAAACGUUGGGCACUAGGUGUGGGGCUCAUUCCACGAGUUCCGUGCCGCAGCUAACGCAUUAAGUGCCCCGCCUGGGGAGUACGGCCGCAAGGCUAAAACUCAAAGGAAUUGACGGGGGCCCGCACAAGCGGCGGAGCAUGCGGAUUAAUUCGAUGCAACGCGAAGAACCUUACCAAGGCUUGACAUGUACGAGAAAGCCCCCGAGAUGGGGUUCUCUUUGGACACUCGUACACAGGUGGUGCAUGGUUGUCGUCAGCUCGUGUCGUGAGAUGUUGGGUUAAGUCCCGCAACGAGCGCAACCCUCGUCCUAUGUUGCCAGCGGGUU